rnacentral:rRNA from 1 species
UACGGAGGAUCCAAGCGUUAUCCGGAUUUAUUGGGUUUAAAGGGUGCGUAGGCGGAAUAGUAAGUCAGUGGUGAAAGCCUGUCGCUUAACGACAGAACUGCCAUUGAUACUGCUAAUCUUGAGUAUAUUUGAAGUGGGCGGAAUGUGUCGUGUAGUGGUGAAAUGCUUAGAUAUGACACAGAACACCAAUUGCGAAGGCAGCUCACUAAACUAUAACUGACGCUGAGGCACGAGAGCGUGGGGAUCAAACAGG